CAGCAGCCACGGUAAUACGUAGGUCCCGAGCGUUGUCCGGAUUUAUUGGGCGUAAAGCGAGCGCAGGCGGUUAGAUAAGUCUGAAGUUAAAGGCUGUGGCUUAACCAUAGUACGCUUUGGAAACUGUUUAACUUGAGUGCAAGAGGGGAGAGUGGAAUUCCAUGUGUAGCGGUGAAAUGCGUAGAUAUAUGGAGGAACACCGGUGGCGAAAGCGGCUCUCCGGCUUGUAACUGACGCUGAGGCUCGAAAGCGUGGGGAGCAAACAGGAUUAGAUACCCCCGUAGUCCCUGUCUUUAUACAC
rnacentral:rRNA from 1 species